rnacentral:rRNA from 1 species
AGCGAACGCUGGCGGCAGGCCUAACACAUGCAAGUCGAGCGCGUGUCGCAAGACACGAGCGGCAGACGGGAGAGUAACACGUGGGAACGUACCCUUUGGUUCGGAACAACCCAGGGAAACUUGGGCUAAUACCGGAUAAGCCCUUACGGGGAAAGAUUUAUCGCCGAAGGAUCGGCCCGCGUCUGAUUAGCUGGUUGGUGGGGUAACGGCCCACCAAGGCGACGAUCAGUAGCUGGUCUGAGAGGAUGAUCAGCCUCACUGGGACUGAGACACGGCCCAGACUCCUACGGGAGGCAGCAGUGGGGAAUAUUGGACAAUGGGCGCAAGCCUGAUCCAGCCAUGCCGCGUGGGUGAUGAAGGCCCUAGGGUU